rnacentral:rRNA from 1 species
GGAUCAAUUGAUUGGUCAUGCCUUGGUAUGUACUGGUCAUAUUGGUUCUCACCUUCUAAUGAACCAUAAUGUCAUUUAUUUGAUGUUAUGGGGAAUUAGGACUGUUACCUUGAAAAAAUUAGAGUGUUCAAAGCAGGCACAACCUGGCAUCAUGAAUACAUUAGCAUGGGAUAAUAGAAU